UACGUAGGGUGCGAGCGUUGUCCGGAAUUAUUGGGCGUAAAGAGCUCGUAGGCGGCUUGUCGCGUCGGCUGUGAAAACUCGGGGCUCAACCCCGAGCCUGCAGUCGAUACGGGCAGGCUGGAGUCCGGCAGGGGAGACUGGAAUUCCUGGUGUAGCGGUGAAAUGCGCAGAUAUCAGGAGGAACACCGGUGGCGAAGGUGGGUCUCUGGGCCGGAACUGACGCUAAGGAGCGAAAGCGUGGGGAGCGAACAGG
rnacentral:rRNA from 1 species